rnacentral:rRNA from 1 species
AGAGAAGNUUUCGAUUGUAACUUNGUCUUCGGGAAGGAAACAAAUGGCCGUUACUCGAGGGAGGAAGCCCGGCUUACUACGUGCCAGCCAGCCGCGGUAAUACGUAGUGGCAAGCGUUGUCCGGAAUUACUGGUGUAAAGGGAGCCCAGCGGAACUGCAAGUUGGGGGUUUAUCUACGGGCUCAACCCGUAUCAGCAUUCAAAACUGUGGUUCUUGAGUAAUGCAGAGGUAGGCGGAAUUCCCGGUGUAGCGGUGGAAUGCGUAGAUUUCGGGAGGAACACCAGUGGCGAAGGCGGCCUACUGGGCAUCAACUGACGCUGAGGCUCGAAAGCAUGGGUAGCAAACAGGAUUAGAUACCCUGGUAGUCCAUGCUGUAAACGAUGAUUACUAGGUGUGGGAAGAUUGACCCUUUCCGUGCCGCAGUUAACACAAUAAGUAAUCCACCUGGGGAGUACGACCGCAAGGUUGAAACUCAAAGGAAUUGACGGGGGCCCGCACAAGCAGUGGAGUAUGUGGUUUAAUUCGAAGCAACGCGAAGAACCUUACCAGGUCUUGACAUCCAACGACCGCCUAAGAGAUUAGGCUUUCCUUCGGGACGUUGAGACAGGUGGUGCAUGGUUGUCGUCAGCUCGUGUCGUGAGAUGUUGGGUUAAGUCCCGCAACGAGCGCAACCCUUAUUACUAGUUACUACGCAAGAGGACUCUAGUGAGACUGCCGUUGACAAAACGGAGGAAGGUGGGGAUGACGUCAAAUCAUCAUGCCCUUUAUGACCUGGGCUACACACGUACUACAAUGGCUAUUAACAGAGAGAAGCGAGACCGCAAGGUGGAGCAAACCUCAGAAAAAUAGUCUCAGUCCGGAUUGGGGGCUGCAACCCGCCCCCAUGAAGCCGGAAUUGCUAGUAAUCGCGGAUCAGCAUGCCGCGGUGAAUACGUUCCCGGGCCUUGUACACACCGCCCGUCACACCAUGAGAGCCGGGGGGACCCGAAGUCGGUAGUCUAACCGCAAGGAGGACGCCGCCGAAGGUAAAACUGGUGAUUGGGGUGAAGUCGUAACAAGGUAACCGUAAAGGGCGAAUU